rnacentral:rRNA from 1 species
AUACGUAGGGGGCGAGCGUUGUCCGGAAUGAUUGGGCGUAAAGGGCGCGUAGGCGGCCCGGUAAGUCUGGAGUGAAAGUCCUGUUUUUAAGAUGGGAAUUGCUUUGGAUACUGUCGGGCUUGAGUGCAGGAGAGGUAAGUGGAAUUCCCAGUGUAGCGGUGAAAUGCGUAGAGAUUGGGAGGAACACCAGCGGCGAAGGCGACUUACUGGACUGUAACUGACGCUGAGGCGCGAAAGUGUGGGAAGCAAACAGGAUUAGAUACCCUGGUAGUCCACACUGUAAACGAUGAAUGCUAGGUGUAGGGGGUAUCGACCCCUUCUGUGCCGCAGUCAACACAAUAAGCAUUCCGCCUGGGGAGUACGGCCGCAAGGUUGAAACUCAAAGGAAUUGACGGGG